CAACAGUCCUAAUUGAUUCCAGUAUAAACAGUUACAAACUGAUUUCUAAUAUAUAAUUAUACAUCUCAGUUUCGAAUGAUCCUGGUCUAUCUCAAGUUCAGAUUCAUAUUCAUAAUAUUCUUCAGCAAAAUAGAAUCGAACUAAAACAGGACAUUAGACUAUUCUAUACCAAAUCUACUACUAGAUGAAUAAUCAUAAGUUUAACAGUCCAAAACAAUCCAAGUUUAAGUAAAUACCAAUCGAAAUUAAGCUACACUAAGCAAAUACACAUCAAUUAAUAUUUACUUUAACUACAAAUAUACAGUAUACUACAACAAUAUAGAUCUGGAGGCCAAAGCAUGAGCACCUUCAUUUCAGUUCCGAUUCAAAACUGUAUCGAAGUUAAUCCAAUUGAUUACCUGGAGUAUAGCAAAAUAUAAGAAAGGAGAAGAGUCAGCAGCAGUAGUAAUCAAGCAGCGAGAUUAAACAACAACAGGGACAAAUUUAGAACAAACACAGCUUCACAAAACCCAGGAGUGGACUGGAGUUACAACACCAGUAUUUAACCCAAAACAAAUUCAAAUGAACCCGAAUACACCCAGAAAUGAAACCAGUAGACUUCAUAAAAACAUCAGCAACUAGAAACACCCAAAAUAGCUUGAAGAAACCCAAAAAUGGCUUGAAACUCGAAUUCGGAACUCUAGGAACUCAGAUUUCUAACUACGCUGGCGAUUAAUCAGGAUUCUCAAUGGAACAGUACAUGUUUUGGAUUUUUUCUUUGUUGUUUUUACUUUUUUUUUUGGUUUUGAGGGUUUUGGAAUUUGAAAUUCAAAUUUCAUAUUUGAAACUUGUUGAGCAAUUUUGAGGGAAAUUUCCAGAUAUGUGUAACUUGCAAAUGAAGGCAGAUAGGCUGCCUUUUAUAGGCAAAGCUAAGGGGAAACUUCAGAUUUUUCAUUUACACCCAUAGUCCCUCUUUUAAUUUUGCAGUUUUACUUAUUUAUCCCUUAUUUUCUGACUUGUUACUCAAGUCACUAUACUAAAUUUACUGAAAUUUUAACUAAAACCCUAUUCCAGACGAUUAUAGGGUGUUCUAAUGUAACCUACAACAUUCCUAUAUACAUCUAAAUACCCAGAUUACCCCUGCAUUUGUUUUAAAACUACCAACUUAUAAUUAACCUAUCUUUUUUAUCAACCUAUGGUCAACUAACCAAAUCAAAUCAGCUAUAACCAAACGACCAGAUUGAUAGAGUCUAACUGAUUGCCACCAAAGCAUUACUAAUCAAAACCUAAAAUUAAUAACUAAAAUCAAAUACUAACUAACAAGACUGACUCAAGAAGUUAAAGCAUAUUUCAGUACUAAUUUGAAUCAGAAAUUAAACAAAAUUACUUAAACAUGAUUAAUCAUAACAAACUAACUAAAUACUAACUUAGAUAAAAUUAUAAUCAGAAAAAUAAAAAUAAAGGUAGAAGGGAAAAAUGACUAUGAAAACCUAUUGAUUUUGGCUAAGGCAAAUGUUAAAACAGGAUUAGACAAAACAAAACAAAAAUUAAACUAACAUAUGAAACAGUUAUGGAGCAGAAAUUGACGAGGAAUCAAACGUAAAAAGAAUAAACAAAAUCAAACGAGGAAGAAGGGAAGAACAACUCACUGAUGCGGUAUUUUCCUUUGAUUAAUUUUUCAAAAUUGACUUUUUAAUUAAUGUUAUAUGUUCAGAAAACAUAUAAUAUUAAUUAAAAAAAUCAUACGAGUUCUUAGCCUUCCCAAAAUAGUGUUGACUUGAAGACCCUAGAUCUGAAAUUCGUGCAAUUCUACUUAGAUUUGAAAAGUUCAGAUUUGGGAUUUGGGAAGAGGGGGUUAGGAGAGUAUAUGUUGUGGUUUUGGUGAGGUUUGAGUGAGUGAGGUUUUUGACUGGAUUUUUGAUUCAUUCAAACAAAUUGGUCGUGAUUUGGGGAAGCCAAGGCCAGAUUUGAUAAGGGGGAAGAGAAGAUUCAGGGGUGUAUAUUUGGUGAAGUUUGGAGCAUCACCGUCGCCGCAAGGCGAUUUUCGGCGGCAGAAAGCGGUGGAAAUUAAGGUUUCUGUAAGAGAUUUUUGAGAUGGAGAAGGGGUAGUGGUACGGAUUCCGACACUGAUAUAUUAAAUUAGACCCACUUCCCAGCCGUU
rnacentral:lncRNA from 1 species